rnacentral:rRNA from 1 species
GACGAACGCUGGCGGCGUGCUUAACACAUGCAAGUCGAACGGAAAGGCCCUGCUUCUGUGGGGUGCUCGAGUGGCGAACGGGUGAGUAACACGUGAGUAACCUGCCCUUGACUUUGGGAUAACUUCAGGAAACUGGGGCUAAUACCGGAGAGGAGCUCCUGCUGCAUGGAGGGGGUUGGAAAGUUUCGGCGGUUGGGGAUGGACUCGCGGCUUAGCAGCUUGUUGGUGGGGUAGUGGCUUACCAAGGCUUUGACGGGUAGCCGGCCUGAGAGGGUGACCGGCCCCCUUGGGACUGAGAUACGCCCCAGACUCCUACGGGAGGCAGCGGUGGGGAAUAUUGCACAAUGGGCGGACGCCUGAUGCAGCAACGCCGCGUGCGGGAUGACGGCCUUCGGGUUGUAAACCGCUUUCGCCUGUGACGAAGCGUGAGUGACGGUAAUGGGUAAAGAAGCACCGGCUAACUACGUG